rnacentral:rRNA from 1 species
GUAGGUGGCAAGCGUUGUCCGGAAUUAUUGGGCGUAAAGCGCGCGCAGGCGGUUCUUUAAGUCUGAUGUGAAAGCCCACGGCUCAACCGUGGAGGGUCAUUGGAAACUGGAGAACUUGAGUACAGAAGAGGAAAGCGGAAUUCCACGUGUAGCGGUGAAAUGCGUAGAGAUGUGGAGGAACACCAGUGGCGAAGGCGGCUUUCUGGUCUGUAACUGCCGCUGAGGCGCGAAAGCGUGGGGAGCAAACAGGGAUUAGAUACCCUGGUAGUCCACGCCGUAAACGAUGAGUGCUAAGUGUUAGGGGGUUUCCGCCCCCUUAGUGAUGCAGCUAACGCAUUAAGCACUCCGCCUGGGGAGUACGGCCGCAAGGCUG